rnacentral:lncRNA from 1 species
GCGGGUCUGGAGGGACCGCUGCUGCGGGAAUGUAAAUGCAAGAGAAGGUUUGGGUGUCUAGGGUCCCAGGGGCAUAGUGGAGGCGGCUAGCCCCAGCAACCGCGGCUGCGGAACAUAUGGCGAGGGGAGGUGCACCACAGCUUUCACAUCCGGGGCCCUUGCAGCCCUGGCCUCCUGGCUUCAGUAGGUUCCUGAGGCUGGCUCAGUACUCUGUCUGCCAUGGCCCGGGGACUGCCCAGCACUGCCCGCUUGGCACGCUUUUGCCAGAAACUGAACCGUCUGAAGCCACUGGAAGAGUCUAGCACAGAGACAUCACUGCGGCGUUGCCUGUCCACACUGGACUUGACCCUACUGGGUGUGGGUGGCAUGGUGGGAUCUGGGCUCUAUGUACUCACAGGCACAGUGGCUAAG